rnacentral:tRNA from 1 species
GACCUAACGCUCCACCAUCAGCACCCAAAGCUGAAAUUCUACUUAAACUAUCCCCUG